rnacentral:lncRNA from 1 species
AAAAUCGUGUACCACUCCGUGUCUCAACACAAAACUACACCGUUUUGUAGUUUAUAUUUUCGCCCUCACUGUAGAUAAUCAGCUCGGCUCAAGCCGCGAAUCAUCUCCACCUCCGGAUAAUCCUUCAAUUCCUGAGAUGAACUCAAACCAUAUGGCUUCGAAUCAAGGCUGUUCAGCUUCACAUUCUUUCGUCCACCGUUAUCCCCGCAACCAGCAGCCCUUCUUGAGCGCAAAAUGGUCAUUUGUCUCUCAGCUCCUGCGAAGAAUUGAAACUGUAGGGAUUGGAUCAGUGACAGUGAGCGGAGUCCAGGGACGAAAAUGUAAAAUUGUAAACAUCUUGGGGGCAUUCUUGGGAAGGCGACGCCGGAGUAGCUCCUUGUCAGUCCACUACUCCGCCGGCCGUAUGUCCUAACUAUCAUAAUUUUUCUUUUUGUCUCCAAACAGAACUCAAUCCUUUCCACAUACGAGAUUUGAAAAUUGGUUUUGGUCGGAAAUAAUUUCUAAUGGGAGGAGCAAAACAGAAAACGCCCCUCUGCACUCCUCCACCUCGACGCUGCUACUCAACAACGGACGAUACGAUCCCAACACAAGACUACACCGUUUUGGAAAUCCAUAGCCAAAUCGCGUGUAGAAGAUGAAAUUCUCUCGUUUUUGUGGAGAGAGAUUUUAUUAAAUCAGAAAAAAUUUGACAUCAAUCUGCUAUAGGAAAGAGAAAAA